AGGUGGUUCUUAUUUUUAUGGACUACAGGGGUUACAAUCACAUUUAAAACCAGAAUCUCAUAUACUAUCUGGCCAACCAUCGACACUAACACUUGUGUAAGUAAGUCAAUGCUUGGUCUCUGAUUAAACUCCAUUUGCAUUUUAGACGGCUCUUCAUCCAGGUCCCUCGGAAAGCAACCCUUAGCAGGGUUUGUCAACCACAGCACCACUAACAUUUUAGCCCAGGCAAUUCUUCAUGCUCUGAAGGGCUGCCCUGAACACUUUAUGUUACUGACAUCUCUGGACUCUCCCCACCCAUCCCUUGGACCUAUGCAGGAAUGGAAACAAGAGUAUCUCUAUUGGGGCUGGGGAUAUGGCCUAGUGGCAAGAGUGCUUGUCU